UGGUAAAGAAAUGCUAGAGUAUAUGGAAAUGAAGGACAUAUCAUCAAAGGACACCCGAGGAUGGCUGAAAGAAGCUUGGUGGGUAAGCUGGGCACUCUGAAGAACCAAGGUAACAAUCAGGCACCUGUGUGGGUGCCCACCAAACAUCUGGAGAUCUAUCAUGAGCCACACCAGGAAGAGAGGGCUCUGGGAAGAGCCAGAGCUCCUGAUAUGAGUGAUGGUACAAAUGAACAUCUCAGAGACAAAGGAGAAGACCAAUGGAGCACUUCCAGCACUAUGUUGACUACAAAUGGUGAAGUGCCACUGGGUUAGAGUCUCCCCGACCAAGCUGGUCUCAGCAAGUGGUCUCCAUCAUGGGGGCUCGAAUCCAGGUUGAAGGGUCACCAGAGUGAUGGUUGGAGAACAUGGAACUAGCUGGAGGACACCUGAGUACUCUUAAAGCAAACCCCGUGUUAAUUGAAAAUGCUCAGUUACGAUUUCAUACAGAUGAACAACUGAAGACAAAAACAACAAAGGGGGAGAAAGAGGGAUUAUGGGACAGCCCAUAUACAAUUGAAUCUAGCAUUAUUAACUUUAAAUUUUUUGAGUCUGCCUAAAGGCCAGAUGUUAUCAGCAGCUGAACAGCAUUUACAGAAACCGGCUGCAAAGACAGAAGCAGAACAACUGGUUUGGUGGAGAGAUCCGAUAACAAAAAGUUGGGAAAUAGGUAAAAUAAUAACUUGGGGUAGAGGUUAUGUUUGUGUUUCUCCAGGCCAAAAUCAAUAACCAAUUUGGAUACCAUCAAGACACCUGAAACCUUAUCAUGAGCCAGAUGCUGAGGAAGAGAUUCCAGGAGGAUCCUGAGGACCCCCUGGUUGCAGCCACGUCGAGGCUGACACUGAGGAGGACCCCAACUGUCAUGAGCAACACCCGUCGAACACAGCCAUCCACCUGGGGACAAAUCAAGAAGCUGUCACAGAUGAUGGAAGAAAACCUGAGGAAAGCGGGACAACCAAUCACAAUGAGUAAUUUGGUGAUCUAUCACAGUGAUGAUCACCAUUGCCAUGAGUAUUCCUUCAACAAGGGCUGACACAGAGAACAAUUAUACUUAUUGGGCAUAUUUAUCAAUCUUGUCUGGCAAUAAUGCCUAGAUGAUUUCACUCUAUGGCACAGUUACACAUGCUUUCUGAUCUCAGUAUUUACCAUAAUAAAUCUGCUCCUAUAAUUGAGGCAUACCACCCUCAAAAACCUAUUUGUAAACAAAAUAGAACCUGGCCAGAAAUAAUGAACAACUUGUUUAGUAAGAUUGCAUUGCAGAACAGGCAGAGAUGCUACGCAAUGAUUCCUAUGGGAUCAUUGAUUGGUCCCCUAAGGGGAUGUUUAGCUUAAAUUGCACCUCUCAGUCUGCAUGCCAUGGCCACACUAGUUCAGAUGGUCUGAACAAAGUGGUCAGAUGGCAGAAAUGAUAAGAAGUAUGGCAAAAGUUCCUAUUGUCUGGAACCAUGGCAGUAUAGUGUCACCUCAACCUCAAAUGAUAUGGCUCAUUGUAGGAGCUAAACAUAAGGAUUUGUGGAAACUAUUAAUAGCUCUUAAUAAGAUCAAAAUUUGGGAAAGAAUAAAAAAAGCAUCUAGAAAGACACUCUACAAACUUGUCUUUGGAUAUUACAAAAUUAAAAGAACAAAUAUUUAAAGCAUCCCAGGUACACCUGACCUUAAUGACAGAAACUGGAGUGCUUGAAGGAGCUGCAGACAGAUUAGCAGCUAGUAACCCAUUAAAAUGGAUAAAAACACUUGGAAGCUCUGUGAUUUCAAUGAUGAUUGUGCUUUUAAUCGGUAUUGUUUGUCUUUGUAUAGUGUGCAGAUGUGGAUCCUGACUCCUGUGAGAAGUAGCUCACAGUGUCAAAGCUGCCUUUGCUUUUAUCGAUUUGCAAAUCAAAUAAGGGGGACAUAUUGGGAACAGCACCCCCCCCCCCAAAAUCUGGCCAUAAACUGGUCCCAAAACUGGCCAUAAACAAAAUCUCUGCAGCACUGACAUGUUCAUGAUGGUCUUAAUGCCCACGCUGGAAGGUUGUGGGUUUACCAGAAUGAGAGCAAGGAACACCUGGCCCACCCAGGGUGGAAAACCACUUAAAGGCAUUCUUAAACCACAAACAAUAGCAUGAGUGAUCUGUGCCUUAAGGCUGUGCUACUGCUGCAGAUAACUAGCCCAACCCAUCCCUUUAUUUCAGCCCAUCCCUUCGUUUCCCAUAAGGGAUACUUUUAAUUAAUCUAAUAUGUAUAGAAAGAAUGCUAAUGACUGGCUUGCUGUUAAUAAAUAACGUGGGUAAAUCUC
ensembl:lncRNA PM20D1-AS1 PM20D1 antisense RNA 1